rnacentral:rRNA from 1 species
CUUGCUGGGUGGAUUAGUGGCGAACGGGUGAGUAACACGUGGGUGAUCUGCCCUGCACUCUGGGAUAAGCCUGGGAAACUGGGUCUAAUACCGGAUAUGACCUCGGGAUGCAUGUUCUGGGGUGGAAAGUUUUUCGGUGCAGGAUGAGCCCGCGGCCUAUCAGCUUGUUGGUGGGGUAAUGGCCUACCAAGGCGACGACGGGUAGCCGGCCUGAGAGGGCGACCGGCCACACUGGGACUGAGACACGGCCCAGACUCCUACGGGAGGCAGCAGUGGGGAAUAUUGCACAAUGGGCGCAAGCCUGAUGCAGCGACGCCGCGUGAGGGAUGACGGCCUUCGGGUUGUAAACCUCUUUCACCCAUGACGAAGCGCAAGUGACGGUAGUGGGAGAAGAAGCACCGGCCAACUACGUGCCAGCAGCCGCGGUAAUACGUAGGGUGCGAGCGUUGUCCGGAAUUACUGGGCGUAAAGAGCUCGUAGGCGGUUUGUCGCGUCGUCUGUGAAAUCCCGCAGCUCAACUGCGGGCUUGCAGGCGAUACGGGCAGACUCGAGUACUGCAGGGGAGACUGGAAUUCCUGGUGUAGCGGUGAAAUGCGCAGAUAUCAGGAGGAACACCGGUGGCGAAGGCGGGUCUCUGGGCAGUAACUGACGCUGAGGAGCGAAAGCGUGGGUAGCGAACAGGAUUAGAUACCCUGGUAGUCCACGCCGUAAACGGUGGGCGCUAGGUGUGGGUUUCCU